UAUAAGUUGGGUUUUCUUCUAGUGGUGUCACUCCCUACUUCACAAGAUCCCAAUGAUCUUGAUAGCAAAAAAAAAUCUUUAUAUGCUUCCACACAUUCUCGUUAUUCUGAUUAUUCAGAAUUGGGAGACUUGCUGAUGUCGCUACGCGAAAAAAGUUGACUGAACGACGUCAACAAAAUGACACAGAGUUGCCACCAGAUUUUAUUUAUUCCUCAUAUAAAAGAGAGGAAAGGGA
rnacentral:lncRNA from 1 species